UCAGGAGAACUGGUACCAGCUGAAGAGUUAUAAAAAUACCAUGCUUAUAGCGUCGUGACAAAGUCUGUGUUCUGUGUUGCAUGCAAAGGACACCACUAG